UACGUAGGGGGCAAGCGUUGUCCGGAUUUACUGGGCGUAAAGCGCGUGUAGGCGGACUUGUAAGUUGGGGGUGAAAUCCCGAGGCUCAACCUCGGAACUGCCUCCAAAACUACAAGUCUGGAGCAAGAUAGAGGCAAGUGGAAUUGCGAGUGUAGAGGUGAAAUGCGCAGAUAUCAGGAGGAACACCUAUUGCGAAGGCAGCUCGCUGGGACGUAACUGACGCUGAGACGCGAAAGCGUGGGGAGCAAACAGG
rnacentral:rRNA from 1 species